AGCAGCCGCGGUAAUUCCAGCUCCAAUAGCGUAUAUUAAAGUUGUUGCAGUUAAAAAGCUCGUAGUUGAAUUUCGGGGUUAGUAGGUUGGUCAUGCCUCUGGUAUGUACUGGUCUCACUAAUUCCUCCUUCCUGAUGAGCCGUAAUGCCAUUAAUUUGGUGUUGCGGGGAAUUUGGACUGUUACUUUGAAAAAAUUAGAGUGUUUAAAGCAAGCUAACGCUUGAAUACAUUAGCAUGGAAUAAUGAAAUAGGACGUUCGGUCCUAUUUUGUGGUUUCUAGGAUUGACGUAAUGAUUAAUAGGGAUAGUUGGGGGCAUUAGUAUUCAAUUGUCAGAGGUGAAAUUCUUGGAUUUUAUUGAAGACUAACUACUGCGAAAGCAUUUGCCAAGGAUGUUUUCAUUAAUCAAGAACGAAAGUUAGGGAUCGAAGACGGUCAGAUACCGUCGUAGUCUUAACCAUAAACUAUGCCGACUAGGGAUCGGAUGAUGUUAAUUUUUUAAUGUACUCAUUCGGCGCCUUACGGAAACCAAAGGUUGUUU
rnacentral:rRNA from 1 species